AACGCACCUUGCGCUCCUUGGUAUUCCGAGGAGCAUGCCUGUUUGAGUGUCAUGAAUAUAUCAACUGCUUUUAGCAUUUAGAUGAUAAAAGUGAAGUUGGAAUUGGAGGAUAAUUGCUGGCGUGACUUAGGUUGCUUGUUAGCUCCUCUUGAAAGUAUGAGCUUUUCUAAUAGAUCAUGGCUUAAUAACACUAAUGUGAUAAGUAUCUACGUUAGAUGUUUGUAGCUAUGAGUUGGGUGACUUCAAUUAUGAAGGAGCUCCUAUAGAAAGGGAUGUCUUAGAAAUGAAGUGUCUCGGAAAUUUUUUUUGAGCCUUGUUUCUAAGGGGAAGACAAUAAUAUAUAUACAUCUGACCUCAAAUCAGGUAGGACUACCCGCUGAACUUAA
rnacentral:misc_RNA from 1 species